rnacentral:lncRNA from 1 species
UAUCUCCCAAGCUCUAAAACACACAUUACACGAACCCUAACCAUUUGGAACUAAGCCUCCAUCACAGUUGAAGCCCACAACCGAUCACAACUUUGGGGAUAUUAAGAACAUGGAGGGACCACUUCUAGGUAUAUCCAACAAAUAUUUUUGGUUUCCUCUUUUUCCUCUGCCACGUAUUAUUUAUAUCAACGUUUUAAAAUUAAGCAUUAGAACAUGUAAUGUUGGGUGUAUCUUAUGGUUCUUGAAAUUUGGAAAGUUCUUUAUUGCGUGAUUUUUCCUUUUUUUUUUCCAUUUAAAUCACAAAAUCCCCUUUAGAUUCAGUUAUAAAUAAGAGAGAUGAAAUAUUUGGAUCAUUCAAGAUCUUUACAGUUGUUCUUGAUUUUAUGAUUUUUGUGUACUCUGCUAUCCGUGUAAAUGAACUUGUGAUCAGGAAAAUGAUUUUUUUUUUUUUGUUAUGUAUUAUAAUUUUUUUGCCCAUUUGUACCUAUAAUUUUAAUCACUAUCUCUAGUUACAAAGUUGAAUAUCAUAUACUAUUUAUUAAAUGGCAAUCCACUAGUUAACUAAGAAUAUUGCAAUCAGAAAGUUUGGAUUAUGCAAUUCGGCUUCUUUGACAUGUAAAAAGCAAAACUGAUUUUAAUCAUUUUCAAUCUUUUUUUAUGUGACACACACGAAGGAUGACUCUGACUUCAAUAAUUUUAACGACGACAUAUCGUCUAGUGAGGACGAUAUGCUAUUUGAAAAAAAUGUUAUGGAGGGAAUUGAGUUAAAUUUUGAUAGGAGGGACAACCAUUAGAUAGGAAGAAGAGGAUCAAGCGAUACUGAUGCACGAUGAACACCAGGACAUCGAUGAUAUGGAAUAUCCAUCGUCUGAAGAACUACUGUCCAGUGUAUCAUCUAACAAUGAGAUAGGGUAUCGAUUUUCAGAAUUUAUGACUGAAACGGAUAUGCGUGAUCCGAAGUUUGAGGUAGAUCAAUUGUUCAACUCUAUUCAAUAAUUUAGGAAGGCGAUUUGGACUUAUAGUGCAGUGAACAUAUAUAAUGUUAAGUGUAAUGCGAAUGACGAAAGAAGAGUUCAAGGUAUCUGUAAAUUGGAAUGCAAAUGGAGAACAUGGACUUCUAAGAUGAAUAAUUCUGAAACCGUUCAAGUAAAGUCAUAUAUACUUCAACACACAUGUGGUAGGGAUCAUUACAAUCAUCAUUAUAACUACAUUUUAAUCGAUACAUUGAGCAGUUCAAGGCAAAUCCAUAGUGAAAAAUGAAAAGUAUGCAAGCAACCAUAAAGGAGGAUUUGAAAGUAAACAUUACUAAAAAUGUUGCUUGAAAAACAAGAAAAUAUGCGAAGCAACUGAUAAGCGGGACUAAAGAGGAACAGUUUGUGUUGCUGAGGUCGUAUGCGGCUGAGGUAUUGAGGACCAAUUCAAGAUCCACAGUGAUGAUAGGACUUAGUGGGCAGGUGUUUCAAGGUAUAUACAUCUAUUUUAGUGCUUGCAAACUAGGGUUUUAACAUGAGUGAAGAAAAAUCAUUGGAGUGGAAGGGUGCCAUUUUCGAGGUGUUUGGCGUGGUAUACUAUGUAAAUAAUUGUAUCUAUCCUAUUUCAUAUGCCGUUGUCCAGAAGGAGAACACUGUUGCUUCGAGAUGGUUUCUAAAAUAUUUGGCUGAGGAAAAUCAGAUGGAAAAUAAAGCUGAUUGGACUGUGAUGACAGAUAAGCAAAAGGGAUUAAGUAAUGUCGUUGGUGAAUUAUUUCUAGAGGUGGAGCAUAUGUUCUGUGUUAGGCAUAUGUAUACAAACUUUUUCAAUAGGAAUUUUAGGGGAAGACUUUGAAGGUCUUGUUUUGGCGGGUUGCUAAGUCUACUACCUUACCUAAGUCAGACUGUGGAUGCAACAAAUUUGUCAAGUUAGUGAAGAAGUGUAUACAUGGUUGAACGAGAGGCAUCUGGGCGAGUGGAGUAAAUCUCAUUUUAGGAAACAUUUGAAGAUUGACAUUUUAUUGAAUAAUUUGUGCGAAGUUUUCAAUAAAAUGCUGGUAAAGGAUAGGGAGAAGUUCAUUGUAAUAAUGUUGAUAGAUAUGUAGUUGGGUUUUAUGAUUAGGAUUAAGAAGCAUCAAAGUAAGACAAGAAAGUACAAAGGGCAAUUGUGUCCAAGGACUAGAAAGAGCUUGCUAAGAUCGCUGAGAUGUCCAAUGAAUGCACAUUACAUUUUUAGGAAGACCUCAACGACAGGUGGACUACAGGUUAGGGGACCUAUGUCGUUGACAUUGGAAGAAUGAAGUUGUGCAUGUAGGAGGUGGAACUUGACGAGAAUACCAUGUCGUCAAACCUUGGCCGUGAUAUGGGAGUGUAGAAAUGAUCCCGAUGAUUAUAUGGAUAACUGUUACACAAUUGAAACAUACUUGAGAUGCUAUAAUAAUAUCUUGAUUUCUAUUAACGGAAUACGAUCGUGGUCCCAACUAGACACUGUACCCAUCAUUUCACCCUCAUGGACUACUUUCGCGAAGGGGGAGAAAGAAAAAAAAUGAGGAAACAAGUGGAUGAAGAUAUUAUCACACACUAUCGAGGGGAAUCGCAUGUUAGGAGAAAAGGAAGAGUAUUGAUGACAAGCUCACUGUGUGGACUAAAAGGACACAACAAAAGAUAUUACUCCAAGCCUAAUGCACCGACUUUUCUAAGUACUUUAUUUGAUGCUCAAUUGAUUAUUUCAAAUGAAUUAUUCUACUUGUACAACCGGGGUUGACAAAGUACUGACAAGAGGGCCCCACGAUUUUUUAUUCAGCGUGAGCCCCCUCCCAUUUGUGUGGUUGUCAACCAAGAUUGUCAACCCCGAUUGUACAUGUAGCCUAAUUGUAUUUCAAAAAGAAUAAAAUCAUAAUUGAUUAUGUCAAUUACAAUAAAAUCAGACUACCUGAUUUUUCUAUAUACAGGACUGUAUGAAGGAUUGUUGGAGUUAGUUGAUAUUGGAAGGCACACGAUAGAGGAGGUUUGGAGACAUGUUAGUACUUAUAUUAUUCUUGUUGCAUGUGUGUAACUUAUUGAAACUAUAAGUUGUUUUUUUUUUUUUUUUUUUUUUUUUUACUAAUGUCGGAUUUAUGUUUGCGGCAGGGAAAACUGGUUCCAGACCUUGGAAAUGGAGCGGUUCAAAUCACGCACAUGAGAAAGUUGAAAAUUUUCAAUUUAUGCCAACUUUAGGCUUCCAGCAUCAAUCUGAAAUAUUUUUAAGUUCAUUCCCACCCCCACUAAUCAUUCCUAGUGUUGGGAAAUCCAAUUUUUGAAGAAAAUAGGAACCUGUUUGUGUAGUGGUUCAUGCAUUUUGUGCUAUUAUAUUGACAUGUGUAGUUGAUGUACAUAGGUAACUACGGGUGAUGAUUUGGAGGGUGUCCUUAUGAUGGUGUGGAUGGUGUUUUUGUUGUUGUGAUAGUGUCCAAUUUUUGUGUUUCUG